CUAAACACGUCGCGCUCAGACAUGUUUCCGCCUUGUAAGUGAUGAAAAUGCUCCUAAUGGUCACAACGCAAAAUAUGUUUGUCUAAAUAGCUAAUCCACCUUGUGAAGGUGGUUGCCCAGCGAAGCUGUGGUGUCACCGAAUCCGAUAAUGGGACGUAACCUUGCACUGUCCAACCUGAGCACGACGCCGUUGGCAUAUGGACGUUGCUGUUCCCGUUGCGGCUCAUCGUCUUCACGUUGCUCUUCGGGAGUCCUAAUUAUGUGCGGCCUCUCCAUAGUACUAUCAGAGCACAUGUGAUAUCAGUUGCUAGGCUGGUUCUUCUGUUCCAUAUGUGAAAGUGCAGUUAUGUCACUCCCCAACGUAAGCUACAGUUGCCACUUUCCGGCAACUCUUAUGCAACCGUAAUAUUUACCACGAAGCGCUCGCGGUGAACACUAUGCGUGAAGGCGAGCUUUCUGUUUUUUUCUUUUUUUUUUACCUCUCGCACAGCCGCGACCACCGCUGCCGCGGAUGCUAGAGUCACUGGAAAAAAUUUCCACUCGAGUCACUGGCAGGCCGACAGUGAUUGCGUCACUCGUGUCACGUGACCUUUUGCCGCCAUAGCCCUUCCAAGUCCUUUCAGUAGGCACGUCGAACAGGGCGCGGAUGCAACGCAGGUGGAGAGCGUGCCCUUUGGCUGGCGACAGCGCUUUGCUUCUGGCGACAGCACUUUGUUUCUGUCGAACACAGGCGACAGAAGUUAUCGUAGCAUUAUGUCUGUAUGCGACGCCUUCACGUGUAGCAACCAAACGGAGUCGGGAAUGACAUUUUUCUGCAUUCUGUGCGGGAAGGAUGACCGGGAUCGACGUUCUGCCUGGCUGCACAGAAUUGGCCGCAGAAGCUUCGGGCACUCGAACACCCGCUUGUGCGAGGCGAACGUCGACCGACCAAGUUGCCGACAGCUGAUAACCCAGAAGGUUCAGGUGUCGCCAUACAACAAGGAACAUUGACAACAAGGAACAGGAAGCCAAGGAGCACCUGACGAAGACCCCCAUGUGCCCUUGUCGAACCAUUGAAUCUAGGCUGAGGCUUCCCGUAUUUUCCCACAACUAACUCUGCAGUUGUAAUGUUAAAAUAAACACAGCCGUCGGGCUAUAUUGUUGAUUUUACAGUCGAAUGCCUGCUAUUGUGUGAAAACUUGGUGCCACAAUAAAUACUUUGUUUAGAGCUGUA